AGAGUUUGAUCAUGGCUCAGGACAAACGCUGGCGGCGUGCUUAACACAUGCAAGUCGAACGGAAAGGCCCUUCGGGGUACUCGAGUGGCGAACGGGUGAGUAACACGUGGGUGAUCUGCCCUGCACUUUGGGAUAAGCCUGGGAAACUGGGUCUAAUACCGAAUAUGACCACGCUCUUCAUGGGGUGUGGUGGAAAGCUUUUGCGGUGUGGGAUGGGCCCGCGGCCUAUCAGCUUGUUGGUGGGGUAAUGGCCUACCUAGGCGACGACGGGUAGCCGGCCUGAGAGGGUGACCGGCCACACUGGGACUGAGAUACGGCCCAGACUCCUACGGGAGGCAGCAGUGGGGAAUAUUGCACAAUGGGCGCAAGCCUGAUGCAGCGACGCCGCGUGAGGGAUGACGGCCUUCGGGUUGUAAACCUCUUUCACCAGGGACGAAGCGCAAGUGACGGUACCUGGAGAAGAAGCACCGGCCAACUACGUGCCAGCAGCCGCGGUAAUACGUAGGGUGCGAGCGUUGUCCGGAAUUACUGGGCGUAAAGAGCUCGUAGGUGGUUUGUCGCGUUGUUCGUGAAAACUCACAGCUUAACUGUGGGCGUGCGGGCGAUACGGGCAGACUAGAGUACUGCAGGGGAGACUGGAAUUCCUGGUGUAGCGGUGGAAUGCGCAGAUAUCAGGAGGAACACCGGUGGCGAAGGCGGGUCUCUGGGCAGUAACUGACGCUGAGGAGCGAAAGCGUGGGGAGCGAACAGGAUUAGAUACCCUGGUAGUCCAA
rnacentral:rRNA from 1 species